CAGAAUGACUGCGGUAAAUGAAUGACGUUUUGAGCUAGGUGUGAAAUGUGAAGGUACAAAAUUAACUGGUGGAUCAGGAACAGAAUUGGAGCUAUUUUAUCUGGACCUAAUUAAACAACCAUCAUUACUGGCAGGCAGGUUAAUUAAAAAACACAUCCUGACAGUGCAGGUGCAAAGAUAGAGAGAACUGAGAGUAAUCUGAACUUGAAAA